rnacentral:lncRNA from 1 species
AGCGUCCAUCAAAGGGUCCAGGACUGGGUGGCAGCCCAUGUCCAGGAACUGGGGCCAGAACUGGCAGAGCAACACCUACCUCAAUGGCCAGGCCCUCUCCUUCAAGGUCACCACCAGUGAUGGCCGCUCUGUGGUCUCCUACAACGUGGCUCCUCCGACCUGGUCCUUCGGCCAAACCUUCAGUGGUGGCCAAUUCCACUGAACCCUAGCUCUUGAUGAUCCAUCUAUCCUUAGAGGAACUAUAGCAAUAUAACUACUAGUAGUAGCUCAUACCUAU